AGGGUUUGGUGCUUUGUAUCUUCCAUGGCUUCUUGGAUGACCAGGUGAGAGAGAGUUUGCUCAGCUCCAUUAGAAGGACACGAUUAGGAAUGAUGACCCAAAUUUGGAGAUCAUCUAUUGUAUCAACAACUACUCAGUUGUCACCUGCAGGUUCGAUAAAUGACCAAGCGAACAUGGGGCAACGCCCUGGGAUUGCUGGAACGAAGCAUUUCGAUACUAAGCUUUAAUGGUAUCUCUUGAUAAUAAAAAAAGCUCCUACUAGCUUCGUAAUAGCUAAUUCAGUUUUUAACCUAUUUGCAAGCCUUGAUAUGAGGCUACUGGCUGCAGUGAACAAAGACAAGUUUUUUUUUCCGUACUAGUGCUGUUUAAGGAGAUCAGUUGUGUAGAAAGAACGCGCCUCAGGCUAGCACACUAUAAAUUUAGUCAGUGAUAGUUAAAGAAUGUUUAAAAAAGCCAAAGUGGGACAUGAACUAUUCCAUAAGGAAAUAAAAAAACUUAUCAGUAAAAGCUUAUUGAUGUAGGAAAAUGAAGAAGAAUUAUUGUAAUUAUUAGGAUCUUUUAGCUACCAACAGAGUCCAUCCACUGUACAUACAGUGUUAAAUAUUCCGUUCAACUGCUUUCAUUAAAGAUAAAGUUUUGCCUCCAA